rnacentral:hammerhead_ribozyme from 1 species
GCAUUACUGAGGAGUCCCACAAUAGGACGAGACGGCCGUCCAGUGC